rnacentral:rRNA from 2 species
ACAGCCGUUGCACACGAGUCAGUCGAUCCUAAGCCCUAGGAGAAAUCCUAUGUAGAUGGUUCGGUGUUCUCAAAAGCAUGACCGACCGUCGGGCGAAAGGGAAUCCGGUU